rnacentral:rRNA from 1 species
GCCCAGACUCCUACGGGAGGCAGCAGUGGGGAAUAUUGCACAAUGGGGGAAACCCUGAUGCAGCGACGCCGCGUGAAGGAAGAAGUAUUUCGGUAUGUAAACUUCUAUCAGCAGGGAAGAAAAUGACGGUACCUGACUAAGAAGCCCCGGCUAACUACGUGCCAGCAGCCGCGGUAAUACGUAGGGGGCAAGCGUUAUCCGGAUUCACUGGGUGUAAAGGGGGCGCAGACGGCGAUGCAAGCCAGGAGUGAAAGCCCGGGGCCCAACCCCGGGACUGCUCUUGGAACUGCGUGGCUGGAGUGCAGGAGGGGCAGGCGGAAUUCCUGGUGUAGCGGUGAAAUGCGUAGAUAUCAGGAGGAACACCGGCGGCGAAGGCGGCCUGCUGGACCGUGACUGACGUUGAGGCUCGAGAGCGUGGGGAGCAAACAGGAUUAGAUACCCCGGUAU